rnacentral:rRNA from 1 species
UACGUAGGGUGCAAGCGUUGUCCGGAAUUAUUGGGCGUAAAGAGCUUGUAGGCGGUUUGUCGCGUCUGCUGUGAAAUUUCGGGGCUCAACCCCGAACUUGCAGUGGGUACGGGCAGACUAGAGUGUGGUAGGGGAGACUGGAAUUCCUGGUGUAGCGGUGAAAUGCGCAGAUAUCAGGAGGAACACCGGUGGCGAAGGCGGCGAGCUGGCCUGUAACUGACGCUGAGGCGCGACAGCGUGGGGAGCAAACAGG